rnacentral:rRNA from 1 species
GACGAACGCUGGCGGCGUGCCUAAUACAUGCAAGUUGAGCGCUGAAGGUUGGUACUUGUACCAACUGGAUGAGCAGCGAACGGGUGAGUAACGCGUGGGGAAUCUGCCUUUGAGCGGGGGACAACAUUUGGAAACGAAUGCUAAUACCGCAUAAAAACUUUAAACACAAGUUUUAAGUUUGAAAGAUGCAAUUGCAUCACUCAAAGAUGAUCCCGCGUUGUAUUAGCUAGUUGGUGAGGUAAAGGCUCACCAAGGCGAUGAUACAUAGCCGACCUGAGAGGGUGAUCGGCCACACUGGGACUGAGACACGGCCCAAACUCCUACGGGAGGCAGCAGUAGGGAAUCUUCGGCAAUGGACGAAAGUCUGACCGAGCAACGCCGCGUGAGUGAAGAAGGUUUUCGGAUCGUAAAACUCUGUUGGUAGAGAAGAACGUUGGUGAGAGUGGAAAGCUCAUCAAGUGACGGUAACUACCCAGAAAGGGACGGCUAACUACGUG